GUAAGGAAUAUUGGUCAAUGGGCGCAAGCCUGAACCAGCCAUGCCGCGUGCAGGAAGACGGCCUUAUGGGUUGUAAACUGCUUUUGUGAGGGAAAAAACUGGGGUACGUGUACCUCAUUGCUUGUACCUUACGAAUAAGCAUCGGCUAACUCCGUGCCAGCAGCCGCGGUAAUACGGAGGAUGCGAGCGUUAUCCGGAUUCAUUGGGUUUAAAGGGUGCGCAGGCGGACUAAUAAGUCAGUGGUGAAAUCCCAUAGCUUAACUAUGGAACUGCCAUUGAUACUGUUAGACUAGAGUGUAGAUGACGUAGGCGGAAUGCGACAUGUAGCGGUGAAAUGCUUAGAUAUGUCGCAGAACACCGAUUGCGAAGGCAGCUUACGAAACUACAACUGACGCUCAUGCACGAAAGCGUGGGGAUCAAACAGGAUUAGAUACCCGAGUAGUCC
rnacentral:rRNA from 1 species